rnacentral:rRNA from 1 species
UGGGGAAUUUUGCGCAAUGGGGGAAACCCUGACGCAGCAACGCCGCGUGGGUGAUGAAGGCCUUCGGGUCGUAAAGCUCUGUCUGGAGGGAAGAAAUGAUUGGGAGCUAAUACCUCUUGAUCUUGACGGUACCUCUGAAGGAAGCACCGGCUAACUCCGUG